CUUUCAACUCGACUCCUCAUCUUUUUUUCUCUAGUCCUGCUGAAGCGUUUCGGCCCAAAACAUCGACUGUACUCUUUUCCAUAGGUGCUGCCUGGCCUGCUGAGUUCCUCCAGUAUUUUUGGAAGGGAAAUACGUGUCAGUUAUCAAGUAUUCACCUGAGUGGAGAACCUCCCAUCUUUCACUCCUACCCUGAGGUAUCUCAUCUGCCGGAAUGAACUGGACAUCAGCCAGGCAUGUUGUACUGUGGAAGGUAAGGGGUGAAGAUGUUACGCUUUCAAGGCAGGGCACUGCAAGGAAGCUGGAGAUAACUCCCUCCGACGUCACUUAUUCUGGCCUCACUUCAUCCCUUCCACUAAGAAACUGAAACCAGAGCCUGCGGGAACAAAGUCCUGCCGUCAACAGCAGGUGCCAUUUCGUUGGCUCUUCACUCAACCCUGGGACAUCUGAACAAUGAAGAUACAUACAUCAAGAUGUGCUUUAUUGACUACAGCUCUGCAAUCAACGCUAUCGUCUCCUCAAAGCUAAUCAAUAAAUUCCAAGACCUUGGCCUCCAUACCUCCAAGUGGUACCGGAUCCUCGAUUUCCUCACUUGCAGACCUCAGUCAGUUCUGAUUGGCAACAAGAGCUUGUAACAGGAUUUGGACCAGCCAGAAAAUGGGCUGAGAUAUGGCAGAUGGAAUUUAAUGCAGGUAGGUGUAAGGUGUUACACUUUGGUAAGACCAACCAAAAGUAGCUCUUAAACAGUGAAAGCUAGGGCACUGAGGAGUGCUGUAGAACAAAGGGAUCUGGGAAUACAGGUCCACAAUUCAUUGUUAGUGAUAGGUAGAUCAGGUUGUAAAGAAAAUUUUUGGCUCAUUGGCCUUCAGAAAUCAAAAUAUUGAGUAUAGGAGAUGGGAUAAUGGGAUAUUAUGUUGAGGUUGUAUAAGAUAUUGGUGAGGCCUAAUUUGGAAUAUUGUGUGCUGCUUUGGUCACCUACCUGCAUGAAAGAUGAAUGGAGAAAACUUUCAAGGAUGUUGCUUGGAACGGAGGACCUGAAUAGGUUAGGACUUUAUUCCUUAGAAGAUAGAAGAUGUACAGAGGCGUACAGAAUUAUGAGGAGUAUAGAUCGGGUAAAUGCAAGCAGGAUUUUCCACUGAGGUUGGAUGAGUCUACAACUAGAGGUCAGGGGUUAAGGGUGAAAACGAAAAACUUAAGGAGAACAUGAAGGGCAACAUCUUCACUCAGAGGGUCGUGAAAGUGCAGAGCAAGCUGCCAGCAAGUGGUGCAUGUAAGUUCAAUUUCAAUGUUUUAAGAAAAGUCUGGAUGGGUACAUGGAUGAUAGGGGUAUGGAAAGCUAUGGCCCCAGUGUAGGUCGAUGGGAGCAGGCAGCUUAAGUGGACUAUAUGGUCUGCAGGACCUGCUUCUGUGCUGUACUCUUCUAUGACUUUCAUAUCUCCUCCACAACCACCACUGGCACAUUGCACCACAAGGUUGUGUGCUUAGCCCCCUGCUCUACAGGGGCACAAUUGAGAGCAUCCUGACUGGCUGCAUCACUGCCUGCUGUGGGAGCUGUACCUCCCUUAAUCGCAGGAUUCUGCAGAGAGUGGUGCAGACAGCCCAGGGCGUCUGUCUGUAGUUGUGGACUUCCCAUGAUUCAGGACAUUUACAAAGACAGGUGUGAGAAAAGAGCCCGAAGGAUCACUGGGGACCAGAGUCACCCCAACCACAAACUGUUCCAGCUGCUACCAUCCGGGAAAUGGUAUUGCAGCUUAAAAGGCAGGACUAAAAGGCUCUGGGACAGCUUCUUCCAUCAGGUCAUCAGACUGAUUAACACUGAUUUGAGUGUAUUUCUAUGUUACCUUAACUGUUCUAAUUAUUAUAAAUUACUAUGAUUGCACAUCGCACAUUUAGACGGAGACGUAACGUAAAGAUUUUUACUCCUCAUGUAUGUGAAGGAUGUAAAAAAUAAAGUCAAUUCAAUUCUUCUACCAUGACUGCGAGGCUAAGCACAGUUCCAAUGCCAUAUUUAAGUUUGCUGGUGACAUGCCACUGUUAUCUGAAUCAGUUGGUGACGAAUCAGCAUAUAGGAUGCAGAUUGAAAGUUUGGCUAAAUGGUGCCACAAUAACAACCUCUCAUUCAACAUCAUCGAAAGGUACGGGAGCCUUAGGUCCUACCCCAACGAGUUCAGGACCAGUUAUUACCCCUACCCCAUCAGUCUCCUGAACCACAGUGGAUAACUUCACUCACCUCAACUCUGAACUGAUUCUGUAUCUUACGGACUCUACAACUUAGGUUCUCAAUAUUUAUUACUUUAUUUUUAAUAUUAUUUAGUUUUUUUCCCCUUUUUUUUGUAUUUGCAGAAUUUAUUGCCUUUUUUUGCACAUUGGCUGUUUAUUAGUCUGUAUGCAAUUUUUCAUUGAUUCUCUGAACUUCUUUGUUCUACUGUGAAUGCUUGCAAGAAAAUGAAUCUCUGGGUUGUAUACGGUGAUGUAUAUGUACUUUGAAAAUAAAUUUACUUUCAACCUUGAAUUUUUUAAUGCUGCCUGUUCCUCCAGCAUGUUGUGUGUAUUACACCGGAUUCCAGCAUCUGCAGAACCUCUUGAGGUUUCUUAUGGUCUCCAGUACUUGAUUCCACAACCAUGGAAAAAAGACGGUGAGCAUUCACCCUAACUAUGCCUUCCAUCAUUUUAUAAAUCUCACUAAAAUCUCUCCUUAGUCUCCUGCACUCCAAUGAAUAAAGUCCUGGCCUGUUCAACCCACUCCCUUGAGUCCUGGAAAAAUGAUCAUCAAUCUCCUUUGCAUUCUUUCAAGCUGAAUGACACCAUUCCGACAACAGGGUGACCAAACUGAUCAUAAUAUUCCAAAAGUGGUCUCACCAAUAUCUUGUACA